rnacentral:rRNA from 1 species
UACGGAGGGGGCUAGCGUUGUUCGGAAUUACUGGGCGUAAAGCGCACGUAGGCGGAUUUGUUAGUCAGGGGUGAAAUCCCGAGGCUCAACCUCGGAACUGCCUUUGAUACUGCAAAUCUCGAGUCCGGAAGAGGUGAGUGGAAUUCCUAGUGUAGAGGUGAAAUUUGUAGAUAUUAGGAAGAACACCAGUGGCGAAGGCGGCUCACUGGCCCGAUACUGACGCUGAGGUGCGAAAGCGUGGGGAGCAAACAGGG